AGUGAACGCUGGCGGUAGGCCUAACACAUGCAAGUCGAACGGCAGCACAGUAAGAGCUUGCUCUUACGGGUGGCGAGUGGCGGACGGGUGAGGAAUACAUCGGAAUCUACUUUUUCGUGGGGGAUAACGUAGGGAAACUUACGCUAAUACCGCAUACGCCCUACGGGUGAAAGCAGGGGAUCUUCGGACCUUGCGCGAUUGAAUGAGCCGAUGUCGGAUUAGCUAGUUGGCGGGGUAAAGGCCCACCAAGGCGACGAUCCGUAGCUGGUCUGAGAGGAUGGUCGGCGACACUGGAACGUGAACACGGUCCAGACUCCUACGGGAGGCCGCAGUGGGGAAUAUUGGACAAUGGGCGCAAACCUGAUCCAGCCAUACCGCGUGGGUGAAGAAGGCCUUCGGGUUGUAAAGCCCUUUUGUUGGGAAAGAAAAGCAGCAGGUUAAUACCCCGCUGUUCUGACGGUACCCAAAGAAUAAGCACCGGCUAACUUCGUG
rnacentral:rRNA from 1 species